ACUCCUACGGGAGGCAGCAGUGGGGAAUAUUGCACAAUGGGGGAAACCCUGAUGCAGCCAUGCCGCGUGUGUGAAGAAGGCCUUCGGGUUGUAAAGCACUUUCAGUAGGGAGGAAGGUAGUGUAGUUAACACCUGCAUUAUUUGACGUUACCUACAGAAGAAGCACCGGCUAACUCCGUGCCAGCAGCCGCGGUAAUACGGAGGGUGCGAGCGUUAAUCGGAAUUACUGGGCGUAAAGCGCAUGCAGGCGGCUUGUUAAGUCAGAUGUGAAAGCCCGGGGCUUAACCUCGGAAUUGCAUUUGAAACUGGCAGGCUAGAGUCUUGUAGAGGGGUUAGAAUUUCAGGUGUAGCGUGAAAUGCGUAGAGAUCUGAAGGAAUACCAGUGGCGAAGGCGGCCCCUGGACAAAGACUGACGCUCAGAUGCGAAAGCGUGGGAGCAAACAGGAUUAGAUACCCCUGGUAGACUGUCA
rnacentral:rRNA from 1 species